rnacentral:rRNA from 1 species
CAGGCUCGAACGGCAGAUGAAUACAUAAGAGAUUAUGUAGUCCUUCGGGACAUUUGUCGAGGUGCUGCAUGGUU